rnacentral:rRNA from 1 species
GAUGAACGCUGGCGGCGUGCCUAAUACAUGCAAGUCGAGCGAACGGACGAGAAGCUUGCUUCUCUGAUGUUAGCGGCGGACGGGUGAGUAACACGUGGAUAACCUACCUAUAAGACUGGGACAACUUCGGGAAACCGGAGCUAAUACCGGAUAAUAUUUUGAACCGCAUGGUUCAAAAGUGAAAGACGGUCUUGCUGUCACUUAUAGAUGGAUCCGCGCUGCAUUAGCUAGUUGGUAAGGUAACGGCUUACCAAGGCAACGAUGCAUAGCCGACCUGAGAGGGUGAUCGGCCACACUGGAACUGAGACACGGUCCAGACUCCUACGGGAGGCAGCAGUAGGGAAUCUUCCGCAAUGGGCGAAAGCCUGACGGAGCAACGCCGCGUGAGUGAUGAAGGUCUUCGGAUCGUAAAACUCUGUUAUUAGGGAAGAACAUAUGUGUAAGUAACUGUGCACAUCUUGACGGUACCUAACCAGAAAGCCACGGCUAACUACGUG